rnacentral:tRNA from 1 species
AGAAGAUAGUUUAAUUUAGAAUUCUGGCUUUGGGAGCCAGGGGUGGGAGUUAAAAUCUCCUUUUUCUG